UUUUUCCUUCCCUAACAGCAGCCAGCGAGAGUUCCAAUGAAUGGUUGAAUCUGCAAAGAGAAGGACUGCUGGAUACUUCUAAUGGAGGAGUAAACUUAGUAUGUGCCCAAGGAAGCAGUGCUGUUGUGCAGAAAUAAAUAGUCCAGAACAGUUUCACUAUUACACCCCUCUCACAACCCUGAUCUCGCACUCAGUGACUAUCAUCUUUUCACUAAAUUGAAAGAACAUCUUGGUGGAAAACACUUUUCUGAUAAUGUUGAUGAGGUGAAAAUUGGAACUGGCUGAAAAAGGCAGAGGGAAACUUCUAUGACACAGGCAUCAAAAACUUGUCCCACAGAUGACAAAAUAAACUGAACUGAAUGGUGAUUAUAUGGAAAAAUAAUGUAACGCCUAUGCUAUAAUCCAUGUAAGUUUUAUUAAAAUAUAUUCACUC